UGACCUGAAUUUUCUAUACCUGGGGGACUUGGAGUUGCAUCAUUGCACACCUCUACCUCUCGGACUGCAGGUUUGCGUGCUGGCAUGCGUGCGCACGACGCUAUUGCAUUCAGGAUCCGUCAGGUAAAAGCAUGCACGGAUCAUGAAGCCAGGGUAGCCAUAUGUGCUCAACUCGGCAGCAGUGACCAUGACCGCAACCACAACAGAACGGGCAACGCCGACGCGCUGAGGACAACUCUGAUGACGCAGACCCCACACGGAGCUAGUCAGGGGCGAAACCCCAAUUAGUUUGCUUCAUCAACAAUUGUCCACCGACCACGACGAUCAAGAUGAUGCUGG
rnacentral:lncRNA from 1 species